rnacentral:rRNA from 1 species
CGUGAGAAAUCUGCCCCAAACUUGGGAAUAACAGUCGGAAACGACUGCUAAUACCGAAUACCUUCACGACGUCGCAUGGCGAUGUGAAGAAAGCUUUAUGCGGUUUGGGAGGAUCUCGCGGCCUAUCAGCUAGUUGGUGAGGUAACGGCUCACCAAGGCAUCGACGGGUAGCUGGUCUGAGAGGAUGAUCAGCCACACUGGAACUGAGACACGGUCCAG